rnacentral:rRNA from 1 species
UACGGGGGGGGGCAAGCGUUGUUCGGAAUUACUGGGCGUAGAGGGCUCGUAGGUGGCCAACUAAGUCAGACGUGAAAUCCCUCGGCUUAACCGGGGGAACUGCGUCUGAUACUGGAUGGCUUGAGUUUGGGAGAGGGACGCGGAAUUCCAGGUGUAGCGGUGAAAUGCGUAGAUAUCUGGAGGAACACCGGUGGCGAAGGCGGCGUCCUGGACCAACACUGACACUGAUGAGCGAAAGCCAGGGGGAGCAAACGGG